rnacentral:rRNA from 1 species
CACCGGCACUUCAAGUGGUAGCCACUAUUAUUGGGCCUAAAGCGUUCGUAGCCGGCUUGGUAAAUUCCUGGGCAAAUCGUACCGCUCAACGGUGCGGAUUCCGGGGAGACUGCCAGGCUUGAGACUGGGGGAGAUCAGAGGUACUUGCGGGGGAGCGGUGAAAUGUUGUAAUCCCACAGGGACCACCAAUGGCGAAGGCAUCUGAUCAAAACGGCUCUGACGGUGAGGGACGAAACCCUGGGGCGCAAACG